rnacentral:rRNA from 1 species
GACGAACGCUGGCGGCGUGCUUAACACAUGCAAGUCGAACGGAAAGGCCCUGCUUUUGUGGGGUGCUCGAGUGGCGAACGGGUGAGUAACACGUGAGUAACCUGCCCUUGACUUUGGGAUAACUUCGGGAAACUGGGGCUAAUACCGGAUAGGAGUUCCUGCUGCAUGGUGGGGGUUGGAAAGCUUCGGCGGUUGGGGAUGGACUCGCGGCUUAUCAGCUUGUUGGUGGGGUAGUGGCUUACCAAGGCUUUGACGGGUAGCCGGCCUGAGAGGGUGACCGGCCACAUUGGGACUGAGAUACGGCCCAGACUCCUACGGGAGGCAGCAGUGGGGAAUAUUGCACAAUGGGCGGAAGCCUGAUGCAGCAACGCCGCGUGCGGGAUGACGGCCUUCGGGUUGUAAACCGCUUUCGCCUGUGACGAAGCGUGAGUGACGGUAAUGGGUAAAGAAGCACCGGCUAACUACGUG